AGGUGUAUUACGGGGCAAUUACUCCAUUGGCAGGCAACAACUUCCUCCGUAAGAAGUUCAAUGAACAAAAAUGGAGGAGUAAGUUUACUGCCAAAGGAGAUUUGCCCGGCAAUUCACAA
rnacentral:pre_miRNA from 1 species